AAGGCUUGGAUCCUGAUCAGAUUCAGUUGAAACAAAAAUUAACAGGAGAGUUAAUUGAACCAACAUGCAACAGUUACCUCUUCAGAUUCUGAAAUGAGGUCGCGACUUCCGAGCAAUCAUGCUGAUGGUUGAGGAUGCACUGCUCUGCUUCCUAAGUGGAGGAGGGGGUGGAAAGAGACAUGGGAUAAUGGGAGGACCGGGCCCAGAGAGGCGAGCUUGAGAUGUAG
rnacentral:lncRNA from 1 species